UACGGCUCAGUAACACGUGGACAACCUACCCUCAGCACGGGGAUAAACCCGGGAAACUGGGUAUAAUACCCGAUAGUUCUGGGAUGCUGGAAUGCUCCCAGGACGAAAGCUCCGGCGACUGAGGAUGGGUCUGCGGCCUAUCAGGUAGUAGUGGGUGUAAUGUACCUACUAGCCCACGACGGGUACGGGUUGUGAGAGCAAGAGCCCGGAGAUGGAUUCUGAGACACGAAUCCAGGCCCUACGGGGUGCAGCAGGCGCGAAAACUUUACAAUGCUGGCAACAGCGAUAAGGGGACCUCGAGUGCCAGGAUACAAUCUUGGCUGUCGUGAUGCCUAAAAAGCAUUGCAUAGCAAGGGCCGGGCAAGACCGGUGCCAGCCGCCGCGGUAACACCGGCGGCUCGAGUGGUAACCGCUAUUAUUGGGUCUAAAGGGUCUGUAGCCGGCCGGAUAAGUCUUUUGGGAAAUCCAGCUGCUCAACAGUUGGGCUUUCAGAAGAUACUGUUCGGCUCGAGGCCGGGAGAGGUGAGAGGUACUUCAGGGGUAGGGGUGAAAUCUUGUAAUCCUUGAAGGACCACCAGUGGCGAAGGCGUCUCACCAGAACGGACCUGACGGCAAGGGACGAAAGCUAGGGGCACGAACCGGAUUAGAUACCCGGGUAGUCCUAGCCGUAAACGAUACUCGCUAGGUGUCAGCCACGGUGCGACCGUGGUUGGUGCCGUAGGGAAGCCGUGAAGCGAGCCACCUGGGAAGUACGGCCGCAAGGCUGAAACUUAAAGGAAUUGGCGGGGGAGCACA
rnacentral:rRNA from 1 species